rnacentral:rRNA from 1 species
GACGAACGCUGGCGGCGUGCUUAACAUACGCGAGUCACGCGGAAACGCUGUGUUUUUGGGGGGCGCGCGUGGGGAGAAGGGGUGUGAAACAUGCGUGUACCCUGCCUGUGUCUUUGGGAUAUUCUGUGGAAACUGGCGAUAACACCGGAUAAGAUCUUCUGCUGCGUGGUGGGGUGUGGAGAGUUUCGGCGGUUGGGGAUGGACUCGCGGCUUAUCAGCUUGUUGGUGGGGUAGUGGCUUACCAAGGUUUUGUCGGGUAGCCGGCCUGAGGGGGAGACCGUCCACAUUGGGACUGAGAUACGGCCCAGACUCCUACGGGAGGCAGCAGUGGGGAAUAUUGCACAAUGGGCGGAAGCCUGAUGCAGCAACGCCGCGUGCGGGAUGACGGCCUUCGGGUUGUAAACCGCUUUCGCCUGUGACGAAGCGUGAGUGACGGUAAUGGGUAAAGAAGCACCGGCUAACUACGUG